rnacentral:rRNA from 1 species
GAUGAACGCUAGCGGCAGGCUUAACACAUGCAAGUCGAGGGGUAUUGGUUUUCGGACCCAAGAGACCGGGCGCACGGGUGCGUAACGCGUAUGCAAUCUACCUUUUGCAGAGGGAUAGCCCCAGAGAAAUUUGGAUUAAUACCUCAUAGUAUAGUACUUUGGCAUCAAGGAACUAUUAAAGUCACAACGGCAAAAGAUGAGCAUGCGUCCAUUAGCUAGUUGGUAAGGUAACGGCUUACCAAGGCUACGAUGGGUAGGGGUCCUGAGAGGGAGAUCCCCCACACUGGUACUGAGACACGGACCAGACUUCCUACGGGAGGCAGCAGUGAGGAAUAUUGGACAAUGGGCGCAAGCCUGAUCCAGCCAUGCCGCGUG